ACUGACCCGGGGGCAGGGACGAGUACAGCUGCGCAGAGUUCUUCCCCGAAUAAUCUCAGCCGUGAGUAGGGUUGUUUGGGGGAGAGUUAGUAUUAGUCCUUACCUGACACCUGAAGGCAAUAUUGUCUGUCCUUGUGGGAGUUGAUAAUUCCUCCAGGCACUGGUCAGCUACCUAAACGGGAGUGCUGUGUGCAUGGGAAAAAUCAAAGGACUCGCAGUAUCUGCAGCCUAUGUGUGCCUGGUGCUCAAGGAGGUCAGAAGAGGACAUCAGAUCUCCUGGACCUGGAGUUACACCUGGAUGUGAACCACCACGAGGGUGACCAGAAUCAAAUGUGGGCCCUGUGCAAGAGCAAAUGUUCCCAACCAGUGGAGUCAUCUAUCCAGCCCCCUUCAUCAUCAAUCAUCAUCAUCAUCAUCAUCUCAUCAUCAUCAUCAUUUCUACUUAUGUAUAUACCUGUGUGAGCGAGUGCCAGAGUAGUCUAGAGGAAGGUGUCAGUCCCCUAGAGCUGAAGUUAAAGUGGUUGUGAGCCACCUGACCUGGGUGCUAAGAACUGAACUCGGGUCCUUGUAGGAUGUGCUUGUAACUGCAGCGCCACCUCUCCAGCCCCCACGUGGGGGCUUCCUUCUCUCCGUGUGUUUGCAGGGUUCAUCCUCAGGGCAUGAAGCAGUCGUUUCCACAGCUUUUAUGGCCGAGUAAUUCUCCACAGCUGUGACUAUGGCGCUACCGCCUGUCUGUUUUUCAGCUGGAGCACAUUUGGGUGGUUUCCACCUUGGGGCGAUUAUAAAUGGAUGGAUAGCUCUUCUCUGAACCUUUGCUCUGCACGGGUGUGUUAUUUCAGGCCUCUUGGCAAAUACCAAGAGUAGAACUGCUGGCUCAUACGGUGACUAUGCUUUCUGAGGAAAUUGUCAGAGUUUUCUAAAGUGAAUAGUUUUGUUUCCUAACCAAAAGACAAUGCAUUCCCAUCAUAUGAAAAAAAAAAAGAAAGAAAAAAGAAAAGAAAACAACAACAACAACGUAGCUAAAGCCUCGUGCUGUCUAACAUUCCCAUUGAGCAACACUGGAGCCUUUGUUUCACAGCCCAGAGACACCUCCGAGGAAAAGCCUGUGUUUGGAUAACAAGCUCUCUGUCUGGCAAACCAGAGUAGAUGGAGUUAACCAAAUCGACUCUAUUCUUGUGGAGUAGUUCCCCAAGCAUACAAGUGCACAGGCCCAUUCAUUUUCUUUAUUUUCCCUGUCCCAGGCUCCACUUCCAGGGGCAUUGUUUCCUUAACAAGGAUCUGGGCAGGGUGAUGAACUUGCUUCAACAGACCACCUUACACAGUUUACUGAACUUUCCCCAGCCGUGCAGCCAUUCUGCUUGUGUAAGAAACCAACCGUGUUGUAGAUGUCUCAACCCCCCCUCGUGUGCCUAGGGAUCAUCUUUCUGGAAAGAUGAUCAACAUUACUCGAUGUUACUACUGCAGUUCUGGUUUUAACACUGGGUUUCUGGUGCCAUCAUCUUUUUAAUACUGGCACCUCAGGGUACUGUGCCACCUCAGCCCAAACCCACCUCCACACUGACCAACCAAGACCGUGGGGUGAUGACCCCCUCUCCCCAGGACCAGCAAGCUAUAUUGUCUUGGGUCUCAGGCCAGGCCUCCCCCAUUCAGCCUCAGAAACUAUGUAUUUUUAAGAUGUACAAUGCAAUAUUAUAAAAUGAUUGCCACGAUCAAGCUCAUUUGCCUUUCUGUCAUUUCUCAUACUUGCCAAUUUCUGGUUGAGAUGAAAAAAUGGAGGGUCUGUUCCCUUGGCAAAUCCCACUCCCACAGUCCAUCUUACUAACUGGAGUCACCUGCUGUGCAUUGGCCUUCCAGAGCUGACUCUCUU
ensembl:lncRNA